rnacentral:rRNA from 1 species
CGUCCCUACGGGGGGCAGCAGUGGGGGAUAUUGCACAAUGGGGGAAACCCUGAUGCAGCGACGCCGCGUGGGCGAAGAAGUAUUUCGGUAUGUAAAGCCCUAUCAGCAGGGAAGAAGAAAUGACGGUACCUGAGUAAGAAGCACCGGCUAAAUACGUGCCAGCAGCCGCGGUAAUACGUAUGGUGCAAGCGUUAUCCGGAAUUACUGGGUGUAAAGGGAGCGUAGACGGUGAUGCAAGUCUGGAGUGAAAGGCGGGGGCCCAACCCCCGGACUGCUCUGGAAACUG